GUGUGGGAUCACCCACUAUGUGUCCAGCAUGUGCUUUAGGAAGGUAAUGCAAAUAUGAUGGCUGGGGAUGGACACAUUCACACCCCUAGUUCCAGCACAGAGUAGCAGUGCUAUUCUUUUCAUAAAAGUAGAGUCUCAAACAAAUGAAACCCAGUAAAAUAUAGUGGUUUUCCCACACCAGCAAUCAAUUUUCCAAUACUCUGAACAUCAACAGUUGUCUGACAUUUUUCUCUAAUUUAAUUCUGAUUCUAAUUACCUGGAGUUAGUGUCAGAUUCCACAGAUUUAAGAGCUCAGUCCCAUAAGACUGUGUGAUCUGUGUAUCUCUGGCUGGGACAGCCAUGCCUGGGGAUGAUAUGACCUGAUAAGAUGGAUGCUGGCUUCACUAUACAUAGAUUUGGUGGGAACCCCUUAUUGGGUUACUUUGCACCCAAGAUGGAGAGAGGGACAGGGAAAGUGUAGAGCAGAGUGAGGUGACUCCAAAGACCAGCAGCAGUUUGAACUCAGCAGUCCUUGGAGAAAGAUGUGUGUUCAGUGUGGAAGCAGAUAUUGAGGAGUCCACCUUAACCAUUCGCUUUGACUUAUUUCUAUCUCCCAUCCGGCUGCUACUUAAUCCCUUGGCCCUCCUAGCCUGGUAGUAUCUUCAGAAAUGGAGAUGCAGGGUAGUGUUGCAGAAAGAGCACUAGACUAGGGGUCAGGGCUUUCAUCCCAGGUUUGCCCCCUGACUUGAGUAAGUUCACUCCCUUCUCAAUGCCCAUGACAUUAGACCAGACCAUAUGUAAGCAGAUUAUAGUAAAAACACGCACAGGGCUGGAAUUGGAAUUGGAAGGAUAAAAUACCUCUAAGGGCAUUGGAUGUAUUUCCCAUCAUGCAGAUAUUAUAUUACAGAUCUAUAACUUCAUUGAAAAAUAAAGAUGAUAGAAUGAAAAUGUAUUUGGUAUUAUUUUAUUGUAGCUUUGUAACAGGAGUUAAUCCUGCUUGUAUCUCUUUGUUUCUUUAGUGACAGAAGUGGAAGUUACUUUUCCUAGUGCCAGGGUAGAAAAUGGCUACGUGGACUUCCCCAGGGGAGUUUUCCCUUAGGAGGAUACAUAUCAAUUUACACUGUAGAAGACAGGUUUUGCUGGAGCCUCUGAGCAUCACACUGCAGACUACUGAACACAAGCAUUGUUUGGUUUCCUCUUUCACUGCAUGGUGUCCAACCUGUUUUUUGAAAAGGAAGAGGGAGAAUGGAGGACUCAAUUUUUGAAUUUCAAAUGAGAUUACACCGGGGUCAUUACAUUUUUCUCUAAGAGUUCCACGAACUAUAGAGCUGCCCUACCACAUCAGAUAGGACUACCCUGGAGCCUCAAAGCUGACCAGAAUCAGGUUUGGUCCAUAUUGUCAAGGCAAAUAUUUUCUGGAAGCCAGGACUAACCCUAUGACUGGGUUCAGUAGGGGCCACCAUGGAGGUAAGAUUAAAGGCAAGUCAAUCUUAACCAUGCUAUACCCCUUUUCUCAUUCCCUUGACACUUGCCCCCCUGUAAAAAAAAUGAAAAGAAAAAGCCCUAGAGAAAACAUUUUUAAUCUGAUUGUGCUACCUGAAUGAGAUAGCUCUUUAAUCCUCAGUAGACUAGCAAUGAUCAGUUUAUUCCCUUAACCAACAGCCCGCUAAAGAUUGGGGGUGGGGAUUUACAGAUCCGGAAGGCUCAGCAUCUUGGGGAACACCGAAUCAGUUCUUGCACUCUCUCUGCUUCUUCCCCACUGCAUACAAACUUCCACUGCCCACAGAAUGAUGUCCAGUUUCAAGAAUCUUUGUCUGCUGGACCAGGACGAGCUGAGUCCCCCAAGCAGGGUCUGGUUCUCACUCACCUGCAGGUAUGCCCAGCACUGAGCACAGUUAAUGGCACAUAAGCCAAAUGGAGCUCAUGAAUGAAUGGCAACUGAGUGAAAAUGUAGCCCAUAGAAAACACAGGCACCAUAUGUGCAAG